UACAGAGGGUGCUAGCGUUGUUCGGAAUCAUUGGGCGUAAAGGGAGCGCAGGCGGGCUGGUAAGUCAGUGGUGAAAUCCUGGAGCUCAACUCCAGAACUGCCUUUGAUACUGAGGAUCUUGAGUACGGGAGAGGUGAGUGGAACUGCGAGUGUAGAGGUGAAAUUCGUAGAUAUCGCAAGAACACCAGUGGCGAAGGCGGCUCACUGGCCCGGUACUGACGCUGAGGUGCGAAAGCGUGGGGAGCGAACAGG
rnacentral:rRNA from 1 species